rnacentral:rRNA from 1 species
GAGUUUGAUCAUGGCUCAGAUUGAACGCUGGCGGCAUGCUUUACACAUGCAAGUCGAGCGGCAGCGCGGGGCAACCUGGCGGCGAGCGGCGAACGGGUGAGUAAUGCAUCGGAACGUGUCCCGAAGUGGGGGAUAACGCCGCGAAAGCGGCGCUAAUACCGCAUGGGCUCUUUGGAGUAAAGCGGGGGAUCGCAAGACCUCGCGCUUGGGGAGCGGCCGAUGUCCGAUUAGCUUGUUGGUGGGGUAAAGGCCCACCAAGGCGACGAUCGGUAGCUGGUCUGAGAGGAUGAUCAGCCACACUGGGACUGAGACACGGCCCAGACUCCUACGGGAGGCAGCAGUGGGGAAUUUUGGACAAUGGGGGCAACCCGUGAUCCAGCCAUGCCGCGUGC